rnacentral:rRNA from 1 species
GCUUACCAUGCAAGUCGAGCGCACUCUUCGGAGUGAGCGGCGGACGGGUUAGUAAGGUUGGGAACGUGCCCUUCUCUAAGGAAUAGCCUCUGGAAACGGAGAGUAAUACCUUAUACGCCCUUUGGGGGAAAGAUUUAUCGGAGAAGGAUCGGCCCGCGUUAGAUUAGAUAGUUGGUGGGGUAAUGGCCUACCAAGUCUACGAUCUAUAGCUGGUUUGAGAGGAUGAUCAGCAACACUGGGACUGAGACACGGCCCAGACUUCUACGGAAGGCAGCAGUGGGGAAUCUUGGACAAUGGGCGCAAGCCUGAUCCAGCCAUGCCGCGUGAGUGAUGAAGGCCUUAGGGUCGUAAAGCUCUUUCACCAGGGAUGAUAAUGACAGUACCUGGAAAAGAAACCCCGGCUAACUCCGUGCCAGCAGCCGCGGUAAUACGGAGGGGGUUAGCGUUGUUCGGAAUUACUGGGCGUAAAGCGCACGUAGGCGGACUAAUCAGUCAGAGGUGAAAUCCCAGGGCUCAACCCU